UACGUUCCCGGACCUUGCACACACCGCUCGUCAAGCCAUGGAAGCUGGGUGUACCUAAAGUCGGUAACCGCAAGGAGCCGCCUAGGGUAAAACUAGUGACUGGGGCU
rnacentral:rRNA from 1 species